rnacentral:rRNA from 1 species
UAUCUCUGUAGAGUCUGCAUAUCAAUAAGCGGAGGAAAAGAAACUAACAAGGAUUCCCUUAAUAACGGCGAGUGAAGCGGGAAGAGCUCAAAUUUGAAAUCUUCAAGGUUCUGACCUUGACGAAUUGUAGUUUAAAGAAGUGUUUUCUGUUAGAUGAGUAGCAAAAGUUCCUUGGAAUGGGACAUCAUAGAGGGUGAGAAUCCCGUAUUUGGUUAUUCAUUCUAGCUUUGUGAUACACUUUCAAAGAGUCGGAUUGUUUGGGAAUGCAGUCCAAAAUGGGUGGUAAAUUUCAUCUAAAGCUAAAUAUUGGCGAGAGACCGAUAGCGAACAAGUACCGUGAGGGAAAGAUGAAAAGAACUUUGAAAAGAGAGUUAAACAGUACGUGAAAUUGUCAAAAGGGAAGCGUUUGACACCAGUGUUGUUUUUCCGAAAAUCAAUUACGAAUGGCUUGAUUUUGUGUUGUAUUGACCUUAUCAGCUUUCUUCACUUUUUUCGAGUCUUUCUUAAUGCACUUUUCGGUUAACAAGUCAACAUCAAUUUCUUUUGUUGUAAAAGAGUAUUCGGAAGGUGGCUUUCUUUUCGGAGAAAGUGUUUAUAGCCCUAUACUUCUACAGUCGGAGAGAUUGAGGUCUGCAGCGUAGAUCCUUCGGGGUUAGAUACACUUGUGCUAAGUUGUAGCUUUUCAUAGACAACUUGUUGACUAUGUUUAGUCAUGCGGCUUACUCGCUUAUGCUAUUUUACCUACGCUUAGGAUGUUGACUGAUAUGUAGUCGUA